rnacentral:lncRNA from 10 species
GAGGAGCUCGCGGGCUUUCCGGCGGGCUGGCCUGAAGUGGAAGGGCCCAGGGCUGCCUGCCACCCUCAGAUGCCACGCAGGUGUUGGGAGGGCACCCGUCUGUGGGCUCAGGGACGUGUUCCCACCGACAGGCACAGAACGGAAAGCACCUUGGGGGAGACGCCCUUCUCCCCAUCUCAGGAGGGAGGCCGGGCCUGCAGACCUCCAGCCCUUCCCCAGCGCUCGCUGUGAGCUCCCCCCCCCCACCCGCCCCCCACGUGCUGGGGAGCAGGUCCGUUUCCCCACCAGUUUGCCUCUGGUCUUUGUGUUUGCUCUGAGGCCAGGCGCGCCCCCUGCUGCAGGCCUGGGCUCCUGUGUGGAGUUCUCCUUUCAGAUGUUGCUAAAAUGUCUUGAAAGGCUGCGGCCACACCAACAGACGUCGUCCGGCCUUCUUCACACGCAACGAAGCGCCCAGGUGGAAAUGCAUGUACCCGCGGCAGCUUCUCGGCAGCGGGCUUCCUGGGACGGAAGACACAGGCUCGCCCGAGGGAGACGGAAGCAGGGGAUCUGCUAGAACUCAGCUCGCCUCCUCCUUUCUCAGCAGGGCAGAGAAUCAUGGGCUUGUGCUGACGAAAGCUCCAGAAAAUGGACUCAUUUAACCUUUCCAAAGAUAUUAUCCAAGCUGCAAAAUCUUGGCAAUCUGAAGACCUUUUAAGUCGAUAUACCAAAGAGCUUUAGUCAGGAUUGAAUGCAAAAUGCCAAAAUUUCACUUUUAAAAUCAUCGUAACAUCUAAAUACAACCUAAGCACACUUGUAAACUGAUGCCGAACAGGCACUUGGAGAGCCCUCCCUGCACCCCUUCCUCGCCCCCUCCUUUGUGCAAAUGCUGUUUGCCCAGAACUUCAGCCACUGAAAAUCCUGGGAACUUUCUCUUCCUGGCUGCCAACCUAGCAGUUUGGACUCACAGACGAGAUUUUUAAAUCACUGAGGGAUUUAAGCCUCUCUGUGUCACAGAAAAGCGAACACCCUCCCAGUUGAAGGUGGCCCCAAAGAUGCGGGCCUGGGACCCAGGACUUCUGCAGGAGAGUGGACGCCUGGGUGCCCCCCGCCUUGCCCUGCACAUGAAAAGAAAAGAUUAAUGAAGCCCUGACGUAGAGGCAGAGAGCUCAACAGAAUCCAGUGACUCAAGGCGUGCGCAGAAGCAAUUUGCUUCUGAAACUCUAAACACCGUUCUUUAGUACUUCCUGACACUCCUCAGCAGCAAGCAAAUAAAUAUUUACAUGUGGAAGGAGACUGUCCUUUGAAAUGUAGGUUGUUCCAUUCAGAAGAGAAAUACGGCAAGGUGCCACUACUUUAGUGGCAACACGCGUUAUUAUUUAUGUUUUCCAGUUUGAAAAUCGUGCACUUUCUAUCAGGACCCUUAAAUGGUAAACACUGAUUCCCACGUGAAGCGAAUUAGUCCAGCAGCCACCCCCCCCUUGGUGGUUCAGGGACAACAGCAUAAGCUUUGACAAAUCACCCUUUGUUUUAUGCUUUGAUUACCUGGUGAGCUAAAAACAAUGAUAGUAAAAGCCUGGACCUGCCAUGUAUUCAGUCUGCAUUUGUUACUCUCCCCUUUCUUCCAUUUAUGAGUUUGUUCCCAAAAGAUUUUUUUAAAAAAAUUCUGACUUGAGUAACUUUUCCUCUGAUCUGAUCUGUUGUCAAAUUAGUGGGUGGCAGGAGAAAGCCAGUCACAUGAUAUCAUCGUUUCCUAUUCAAACAGACGGCUUUUUUUUUUUCAGUAAAAAUACUCGACUGCAAGACUAUGAGUGUGCAGAUAAUUCUGCUGCUUACUCCGAUUGGAGGUGUCUCCAGGGAGUUUCCAAGCACAGGAAGCAUUCCUGCUCUGAGGUUUCGGAAGAACACUUUCAGCAGGAUUUUGGGUCACUGAAAUGAAAGUGAACUAUGCUCUGUACAAAUGUAUCAUGUUUAAUUCAGGAGAAAUUCAUGCAUUUCUUUGUUCUAUAAAUAUUUACUGGCAGCUCGUUUUGUAUAGGAGGCUGCCACCUCCCAAAAGCCCCCUGCUCCUCGAGUGGGUUGAGCCUGAAACCCCACAUCCACAGACGUGCCCAGCGGCCUUGGGUGCUCAACACAGGCUCGUUCAGGUACGACCAGAUAACGGGGCAUACCUGGUCCCAGAGUUCAAGGGCUUGUCUUAUUUUAUUUUAAACAUCAGACUCUAACUGCUUGUUUAAUCUAAAUGUUAGCAAUCAACCUACAGCCACCUGAAAUAUGUGAGUGGUGUUUAACAGAUGAUAAAGAUCAUAUAUUACUUGCAUGGAAAGAAUGUAGAAAUAUAGGUGUCCCUUUUAGUCUUUAGUGUGUCCCCAUAAUCAAUGUCCCCAGCUCAUUAAUGAAAAGGUCCCCUCCUCCUCCCCCAUCGCUGCCCUCAUUCCUAUAAUGUAAACAGCCACCAAUGGCUCCUAUUUCUUUGUUCAAACAAACAAUAGCCUUAUAACGAAGAAGAAAAUUAGUAUCAGGUGAAAGCCUCACUUCAGGGUGCUUAUGGCUUUUUCUUUUUUCAGAAUAACAGAGUACACCAGUCAUCAUAAGAAGAAAAAUUCACAUUUAAAGUUUGGAAAGCAACAGGACAAAGGUCUGUCUUCAGUGGUGCGUAGACAUGCUCGUGAUUGAAUUGGAAAUAGUUCUCUUUCCUUCUCUCUGACUUCCUAACUGAAAAGCUGCAGCGUGGGGAGAAAGGCUGCUCAGAAGCCUGGAGCCAGAACACGCACCCCGGCUUUUGCAGGGCCGGCUCACUUGGUUAGAAUCAAAGGAAAAGCCUUGUUAUUUGGGAAGCUGGGCGUCCUCACCAAAUUAGGGGAUUUAAUUUGCAGAUAUCUAAGGAGUGCUUUGAAAUGAAAGAUGAACUAAAAUCUGCUCUGAGGCCCGUGAUUUUUCACCAGUGAAGGACUCUCUUGCUGCUGGACAUACAUGAAAAGCAUCAUCUGAUCUGAAACGCAAGUCCCUGCAAGACAGAGGAGAGACUUUAUAAACAUUUUAUACCAUUCUAUGAAAUCAAUUCGAUUCAGGGCUAGAAUUCAAGAAGUAAUCCAUGGGCAAGUAUAUCUGAUGGUAAACCCAAACGAUUAUAUUGUUAACCUCUUGUACUUUUUUUAAUUUUUUAUUAUUUGAUAUUAUUAUCACAAAAGUCGCUGGAACAGGAUCCAUGAGCUGCUUCUUCACUGCUUAGUGUUUUCAGAAGCUGAUGGAUUAUUAAGCUCCAAUUGAAUACUUGAUUUCCAAUGAUUCCAUUAAUUUUUCUGGUUUGUGGUAGGAUUUGAUUUACUUAUUUUGUACUUUAACACACCAAUAAAAAAUAGAUACUAAGAAAUAGUGAAAUUUGUUGCUUCAAAAUAACCCUUAAAAUUUAGAGUUUAGUGAAAUUAAGCAAUUCAAAUAGAGAAACGAUUAUCCUUCAUUUCCUUAAGGCACAGAAAUUGAGACUAGGUUCAAGAACCUUCAUAUUUUAAAAACUGGAAAAUACUGGCUAAGUGAGGACUGGGCGGUCAUCCUCCACACAUGCUCUGUGUGCUUGGAGCGAAG